UACGUAGGGGGCUAGCGUUGUCCGGAUUUAUUGGGCGUAAAGAGCGUGUAGGCGGCCAGACAGGUCCGUUGUGAAAACUCGAGGCUCAACCUCGAGACGCCGAUGGAAACCGUCUGGCUAGAGUCCGGAAGAGGAGAGUGGAAUUCCUGGUGUAGCGGUGAAAUGCGCAGAUAUCAGGAAGAACACCCGUGGCUAAGGCGGCUCUCUAGUACGGUACUGACGCUGAGACGCGAAAGCGUGGGGAGCGAACAGG
rnacentral:rRNA from 1 species